GCUUCAAAGUCUCUUUAGAUGGUAUGGAGUACUUAGUAAUUAUCAGUCUAAUAUGCCUUCUUCUCUCUGCUUUGUUAAGUCCUUGUGCUUCCUCUCAAAUUCAGGUCCAAUCAUUUCAUCAUAAACAAGCCAAUAAUGAGUUCCAGCCAGCUUCUAUUCCCACAUUGUCAAGGAAGCUUAGAUUCACUACUAUUGUAGGAAAAAAAGAAGGUUCACAUUUCAUGUCCAACAAGAAGAAGGAACAUAUUUCAG